GUGGGGAAUCUUCCGCAAUGGACGAAAGUCUGACGGAGCAACGCCGCGUGAGUGAUGAAGGUCUUCGGAUUGUAAAGCUCUGUUAAUCGGGACGCAAGAGCCUAGUGUGAAUAAUGCUAGGAAGUGACGGUACCGGAAUAGAAAGCCACGGCUAACUACGUGCCAGCAGCCGCGGUAAUACGUAGGUGGCAAGCGUUGUCCGGAAUUAUUGGGCGUAAAGCGCGCGCAGGCGGAUCUGCCAGUCUGUCUUAAAAGUUCGGGGCUUAACCCCGAGAUGGGAUGGAAACUACAGAUCUAGAGUAUGGGAGAGGAAAGUGGAAUUCCUAGUGUAGCGGUGAAAUGCGUAGAUAUUAGGAAGAACACCAGUGGCGAAGGCGACUUUCUGGACGAAAACUAGCGCUGAGGCGCGAAAGCCAGGGGAGCGAACGGGAUGAGAAACCCCGGUAGUCC
rnacentral:rRNA from 1 species